rnacentral:misc_RNA from 1 species
AAAGAGGUCAUUGCAAUCUAUGUGGAUGAUGAUUUUGGGAGGAAUGGGAUAGCUGCUUUGGAAGGCGAACUUGCAAAGAAAAUGGCAAGAAUGUAUAAGUUGCAGUUGUCUGUCAAUUUUGAUGAUACUGAUAAUGGAUUUGCUUAAGCAAUCCAAACCACUUGGUCCUCGUGUUUAUAUUGUUCACGUUAAUCCAGACCCCAAAUUGAGAAUCUUUACCGUUGCCCAAAGACUUCAAAUGAUGACUGACAAUUAUAUUUGGUUUGCAACGGAUUGGCUUUCAACUACAAUAGAUUCAUUCUCUCAGAUGAAUCAAACUUCACUUAGUGCUCUUCAAGGAGUAGUUGGUCUUCGUCAACAUAUUCCAGAGUCCAGCCAGAAGAAAGCUUUUCUGUCUCGAUGGAGAGUAAUGCAGCAGAAGGGUUUAGCAAGUUCUGAGCUGAAUACCUAUGGACUUCAGGCCUAUGAUACAGUUUGGGCAGUUGCCUAUGCGAUUGAUAGGUUCAUUGAUGAAUUCAAGAAUAUCACAUUUUCUUCCAUUGGCAAGCUACAUGACAUGAAAACAUCUGAAUUACAUCUAGGGGAGGAAGUCUUUAGUAAUGGAAGUAGUCUACUAAACAAAAUAAUGCAGACGAACUUCACUGGUUUAAGUGGUCGCAUGCAAUUUAAUAAUGACCGGAACAUUGAGAGUGGUGGCUAUGAUGUCAUUAAUAUU